GGUUAAGUGAAUAAGGGCGCACGGUGGAUGCCUUGGCACUAGGAGCCGAUGAAGGACGGGACUAACACCGAUAUGCUUUGGGGAGCUGUAAGUAAGCUAUGAUCCAGAGAUUUCCGAAUGGGGGAACCCAAUAUCUUUUAUAGGAUAUUACUUUUCAGUGAAUACAUAGCUGAUUAGAGGUAGACGCAGAGAACUGAAACAUCUUAGUACCUGCAGGAAGAGAAAGAAAAUUCGAUUCCCUGAGUAGCGGCGAGCGAAACGGGAAGAGCCCAAACCAACAAGCUUGCUUGUUGGGGUUGUAGGACUCCGAUAUGGUAGUCUGUUAGUAUAGUUGAAGGAUUUGGAAAAUUCCGCUAAAGAGGGUGAAAGCCCCGUAGACGAAAUGCUGACAACACCUAGGAGGAUCCUGAGUACGGCGGAACACGAGAAAUUCCGUCGGAAUCCGCGGGGACCAUCCCGCAAGGCUAAAUACUCCCUAGUGACCGAUAGUGAACCAGUACCGUGAGGGAAAGGUGAAAAGCACCCCGGAAGGGGAGUGAAAUAGAUCCUGAAACCGUGUGCCUACAACAAGUCAAAGCUCGUUAAUGAGUGAUGGCGUGCCUUUUGUAGAAUGAACCGGCGAGUUACGAUUGCAUGCGAGGUUAAGUCGAAGAGACGGAGCCGCAGCGAAAGCGAGUCUGAAUAGGGCGAAUGAGUAUGUAGUCGUAGACCCGAAACCAUGUGAUCUACCCAUGUCCAGGUUGAAGGUGCGGUAAAACGCACUGGAGGACCGAACCCACGUACGUUGAAAAGUGCGGGGAUGAGGUGUGGGUAGCGGAGAAAUUCCAAACGAACUUGGAGAUAGCUGGUUCUCUCCGAAAUAGCUUUAGGGCUAGCCUCGGAAUUGAGAAUGAUGGAGGUAGAGCACUGUUUGGACUAGGGGCCCAUCUCGGGUUACCGAAUUCAGAUAAACUCCGAAUGCCAUUCAUUUAUAUCCGGGAGUCAGACUGCGAGUGAUAAGAUCCGUAGUCGAAAGGGAAACAGCCCAGACCACCAGCUAAGGUCCCAAAAUAUAUGUUAAGUGGAAAAGGAUGUGGGGUUGCACAGACAACUAGGAUGUUGGCUUAGAAGCAGCCACCAUUUAAAGAGUGCGUAAUAGCUCACUAGUCGAGUGACCCUGCGCCGAAAAUGUACCGGGGCUAAACAUAUUACCGAAGCUGUGGACUACACCAUUAGGUGUAGUGGUAGGAGAGCGUUCUAAGGGCGUUGAAGGUCGAUCGUGAGGACGGCUGGAGCGCUUAGAAGUGAGAAUGCCGGUAUGAGUAGCGAAAGACAGGUGAGAAUCCUGUCCACCGUAUGACUAAGGUUUCCUGGGGAAGGCUCGUCCGCCCAGGGUUAGUCGGGACCUAAGCCGAGGCCGAUAGGCGUAGGCGAUGGACAACAGGUUGAUAUUCCUGUACCAGUUGUUUUUGUUUGAGCAAUGGAGGGACGCAGUAGGCUAAGGAAUGCAUGCGAUUGGAAGUGCAUGUCCAAGCAAUGAGUCUUGAGUAGAGUUAAAUGCUUUACUCUCUAAGGACAAGUUGUGACGGGGAGCGAAAUAAUAGUAGCGAAGUUCCUGAUGUCACACUGCCAAGAAAAGCUUCUAGUGAGAAAACAACUGCCCGUACCGUAAACCGACACAGGUAGUCGAGGAGAGUAUCCUAAGGUGAGCGAGCGAACUCUCGUUAAGGAACUCGGCAAAAUGACCCCGUAACUUCGGGAGAAGGGGUGCUGACUUCGGUCAGCCGCAGUGAAUAGGCCCAAGCGACUGUUUAUCAAAAACACAGGUCUCUGCAAAAUCGUAAGAUGAAGUAUAGGGGCUGACGCCUGCCCGGUGCUGGAAGGUUAAGAGGAUGGGUUAGCUUCGGCGAAGCUCAGAAUUGAAGCCCCAGUAAACGGCGGCCGUAACUAUAACGGUCCUAAGGUAGCGAAAUUCCUUGUCGGGUAAGUUCCGACCCGCACGAAAGGCGUAACGAUUUGGGCACUGUCUCAACGAGAGACUCGGUGAAAUUUUAGUACCUGUGAAGAUGCAGGUUACCCGCGACAGGACGGAAAGACCCCAUGGAGCUUUACUGUAGUUUGAUAUUGAGUGUUUGUACCACAUGUACAGGAUAGGUAGGAGCCGAUGAGACCGGAACGCUAGUUUCGGAGGAGGCGCUGGUGGGAUACUACCCUUGUGUUAUGAACCCUCUAACCCGCACCACUAAUCGUGGUGGGAGACAGUGUCAGAUAGGCAGUUUGACUGGGGCGGUCGCCUCCUAAAAGGUAACGGAGGCGCCCAAAGGUUCCCUCAGAAUGGUUGGAAAUCAUUCGAAGAGUGUAAAGGCAGAAGGGAGCUUGACUGCGAGACCUACAAGUCGAGCAGGGACGAAAGUCGGGCUUAGUGAUCCGGUGGUUCCGCAUGGAAGGGCCAUCGCUCAACGGAUAAAAGCUACCCUGGGGAUAACAGGCUUAUCUCCCCCAAGAGUCCACAUCGACGGGGAGGUUUGGCACCUCGAUGUCGGCUCGUCGCAUCCUGGGGCUGUAGUCGGUCCCAAGGGUUGGGCUGUUCGCCCAUUAAAGCGGCACGCGAGCUGGGUUCAGAACGUCGUGAGACAGUUCGGUCCCUAUCCGUCGCGGGCGUUGGAAAUUUGAGAGGAGCUGUCCUUAGUACGAGAGGACCGGGAUGGACUUACCGCUGGUGUACCAGUUGUUCUGCCAAGGGCAUUGCUGGGUAGCUAUGUAGGGAAGGGAUAAACGCUGAAAGCAUCUAAGUGUGAAGCCCACCUCAAGAUGAGAUUUCCCAUUUCUUUAAGAAAGUAAGACCCCUGAGAGAUGAUCAGGUAGAUAGGUUGGAAGUGGAAGGCUAGUGAUAGUUGGAGCGGACCAAUACUAAUCGGUCGAGGACUUAACCAA
rnacentral:rRNA from 1 species